GGCCGUGGCCAAAAGCCGCUCCCGACGCCGGGCUGACCAGCAGAGCUGAAAGAGGCACCGGGGAGGGGGGCUGAGGGCACUGCCUGGCACAUUUUGGGGUACUCACAGCACCCCAAAAAUAGGCACCAUCAAAGGAAGGCUUUGCUGCUGUGAAACCCCAAUAUUUGGCUAAAUGUCUCCCCAAAAUGAGUGUUUUUACUGAUGGUUGGGGUUUUGGGGAUAUUGGAGACGCCCCCCAGUGUAGCGAUAAAUAAACCUUUAUUUUAUACAGGACUCACGGGAAACACAAACACAGUUUUGGGAGGGUGUGAAAAAAUAUUCCUCCCCCUUCCCCCCAGUUCCAGCCUCCGGCACAUUCCGGAACUUUUGUCCCUUAAAAUAAAGGGGGGGAGAGGGAGCUCCACUUUGGGGUUACCCUGGAUUUGAGUCCCCUCUGGUUUUUUAGGGGAGGGGAUGAUGCUGGGGUUGGACCCACUCCUCAUUUUGGGGUCACGNNNNNNNNNNNNNNNNNNNNNNNNNNNNNNNNNNNNNNNNNNNNNNNNNNNNNNNNNNNNNNNNNNNNNNNNNNNNNNNNNNNNNNNNNNNNNNNNNNNNNNNCCCCCCCCCCCAAGUCCUGCACCGGGGACGAUGGCUUCAGCUCCUGGCACGGGGGUGGCACACAGAGGGGGGUGAAGCAGUGGCACCCCCGCAGGUGGGGGGGUGACUAUGAGCCCUGUGGGAGGGACAUCAGUGGGGGCACCCCACGGUGGGCACCCCCACUCUGCACGGGUGAAGGGGGCAAAGCCUCACCGGGUUCUGGGGGGGCUGCUCCAGCUGGAUUUUGAUCUCAGGGCAGGGGGAGUCAGGCGGGCGGCGGCCUGGGGCAAAGGGGGGACCGUGAGCACCCCGAGGAGCCCCCAGCCCUGCAGUGCCCCGAUCCGGGGGUGCUGGGCUACCUGGGGGGGUCCCGGGGGGCUCAUCCGGCCAGGGGGUGUCCGUGAAGGCGUCGCGGUGGCUCCCCGAGGGCGAGCGGCUCUCCUGAGGGGGCACAGGGGGGUCAGGGGGUGCUGCCCACCCCAAAGUGCCCCCCCGGAGCCCACCCCGGGCUCCCCGUACCCGUCCCGGCUCGCCGGGCUCCUCCGCGGCGCUGCCGAAGCUGCUGGCGCUGGAGGAGGAGCGGGAGAAAUCCGGCGGCUCCGGCUUCUCGGCCCUGCCAGGGACAGUCCCCACGGCCAGGGACGGUCCCCAAGGCCACAACAGGCUGGCACCGCGCCUCGUGGCCACCACCGUGGCCCCGCUGCGAUGCUGUGCUGGCCCCGGGACACCCUGUCCCCACACCACCCCGGCCGGGACACUGCAUCCUCAUGUCACCCUGGCCCCGGCAUGUCCCAUCCCUGUGGCACCCCAUCCUGGUGCCACCUUGUCCCUGUGCCACCCCACCCUGGUGCCACCCCGUCCUUGAGCUGCGCCAUCGCAGCGUCCUCCAGUCCCCGUGUCACCUGGUGCUGGAGUCACCCCAUCCUGGUGCCACCCUGUCCCGUUGCCACACCAUCCCAGUGUCUUCCAGUCCCAAACAUUCCCCCCCCCAGUGCCCUCCUGUCCCCGUGUCCCCAUCCCGGUGCCAGCCCCGGGACCUGUCGGGGUUCCGGCGGCUCUCGGGGGAGCUGUGUGUGGAGCUGGAGCCGUCGGCGGCUGCGGGGCUGUCCCUGUGGGGAGGCGACGGCAGUGAGGUGACAGCGGGAGGUGACAGCGGGAGGGGACAGCGGCGGGGCCGGUACCGGGCUCACCUGCCGGCCGGCGCCUCCUGGAUACUCUCGAUGCCGAUGGCGCUGGAGCGGCGGGAGCCGAGGGGGCCGGGCCGCCGCCGUGACGGGCUCUUCCCGGGCACCAGCAGCGCCUGCGGGGCGCCGUUAGCCGAGGGGACACCGGGGACCGGGGGGACACCGGGGGGGGACAGCGAGCUACCGGUACCCACCUCUUCCACCGAGCCCAGCCCGAUGGCGCUGCCGCGGCGUCCCCGGCGGCUCCCGGGCACCAGCAGCGACUGAGGGCGGCGGCGGGUCAGAGACCGGGGACACGGGGCGCGGGGAACCGGGUACCGGGGGCAAACAGGCACCGGAGGGGGAACCGGGUACCGGGAGGGGAAACUGGGUACUGAGGGGCAACCGGGAGCUGAACCGGGUACCGGGAGGGGAACCGGGUACUGGGGGGCACUGGGUACCGGGGGGUAUCAGUAACCGGGGGAAGCCGGGUACCGAGAUGGAACCGGGUACCGGGAGGGGAACUGGGUACCGGGGGGGCGGAGCCAAAGGUGAGAUAGGAGGGGCCUGUAGUAAGGGGCGGGGCUUAAGACGCGGGACGCGACCAGCAUUUUGGGCGGGGCUUGUGCCGAUGAAGGGGCGUGGCCCCCAUGGGCGUGGUUUCUAGAGGAUCGGGGCGGGGCUUGCGGUCAGGGGGCGGUUGUUGUCCGUGAGGGGGCGGGACCCGGGGUGGGCGUGGCCGCAGCCACACCCCGGCAGAUCGGCUGCGCGCGCAGGGGGCGGGGCCAAGGCCCAGGGCGUGGUCACAGCAAAGAGGCGUGGUCAACACAGGGGCGUGGUCAGUGCAGGGGGCGUGUCCUGGGUGGGGACCUGGGGAGGGAACCCGGCCCCGCAGCGCUGCGUGAGGGACUGCGGGACCCCCGCGCCCACCUUGAAGGACUCGAAGAAGCCCGGGGCGGCGCCGCCGUUGUCGG
ensembl:lncRNA